rnacentral:lncRNA from 1 species
AACUACUUAAGAGCUGUCAGAGAAUGAGAAUUUAAGGCUAUGUCAUAAUAAAAAUUCAACUCAAUUUCCAUAUGCGGGAGACUUACGGUGUUAAAACAAUACCAAUCUUGUGAAUUUUUCCCAAGUCUCCGCAAACUCGACCUCAAAUUAUUCUAUAGCCUAAAACUUUCAACAAAAAUACAAUUUUUUUUAGAAAGAAAACAAAAACAAAACAAAACAAAGAACAAAAACAAAUAAAAUAAAUUAUUCUCUCCCCCACACUUAAAAUAUGCAUUAUCCUCAAUGAAAGAAACAAACAUAAAAUAAGAGAGAGAAGAGAGAGGAAAGAACACACCCGAGUAGUUAAGGAGGAUAGAUGAUCACAUAAGCAGCCUUUCCCAAAGAGAUAUAUUCUACAUUUUCUUCUUCCAAAGUGGGGUUGUCAUGGAAUAGCUUUGG